rnacentral:lncRNA from 1 species
GUCUGUACUCGUGUGACAGCAGCCUCACCUGGCACGUGUGAGGGCCUGUCACACUUUACAGGCCCCUGAGUUACCCUUUGGGCUGCUGAGGAGACCUGGCUGUGCUGUCCCGUGGUGAUGAUCUCCUCUUGUUGGGAAGAGAGUUGCCAUGACUGCCAGACUCAGUGUGGAGUUUGACUGGUAACUCCUGCAUAAAUGAGUCAUCUGAGGAAUUAAAAAUCAGACUCACAAAACAAGAAGCAGUUUCCCCAAAUAAAUCUUUUCCACCAGGCGUCUUUGGUCAGAGAGCUUUGUAAACAUGACUCCUAGAGUGAAGCAGCACAGGGCUGAGCUUAAGGCUUCCAAAUCCACAAUAAAAUUAA